rnacentral:rRNA from 1 species
UACGGAGGGGACUAGCGUUGUUCGGAAUUACUGGGCGUAAAGCGCACGUAGGCGGAUUUGUAAGUCAGGGGUGAAAUCCCGGGGCUCAACCUCGGAACUGCCUUUGAUACUGCAAAUCUCGAGUCCGGAAGAGGUGAGUGGAAUUCCUAGUGUAGAGGUGAAAUGCGCAGAUAUCGGGAGGAACACCUAUGGCGAAGGCAGCUCGCUGGGACGGUACUGACGCUGAGACGCGAAAGCGUGGGGAGCAAACAGG